AGGGUUUGAUUAUGGCUCAGAACGUACGCUGGCGGCACGCCUAACACAUGCAAGUCGAACGAAGUAGCAAUACUUAGUGGCAGACGGGUGAGUAACAUGUAGGUAUCUGCCCUUUGGCCUGGAAUAACACGAGGAAACUUGUGCUAAUACCGGAUAAGUCUUUACGGAGAAAGCUUUAUGCACCAUUGGAUGAGCCUGCACUUGAUUAGUUUGUUGGUGGGGUAAUGGCCUACCAAGACUGUGAUCAAUAGCUGAUUUGAGAGGAUGAUCAGCCACAUUGGGACUGAGACACGGCCCAAACUCCUACGGGAGGCAGCAGUGGGGAAUCUUGCACAAUGGAGGAAACUCUGAUGCAGCGAUGCCGCGUGAGUGAAGAAGGCCCUUGGGUUGUAAAGCUCUUUCGUCGGGGAAGAAAAUGACUGUACCCGAAUAAGAAGGUCCGGCUAACUUCGUGCCAGCAGCCGCGGUAAUACGAAGGGACCUAGCGUAGUUCGGAAUUACUGGGCUUAAGGAGUUCGUAGGUGGUUGAAAAAGUUGGUGGUGAAAUCCCAGAGCUUAACUCUGGAACUGCCAUCAAAACUUUUCAGCUAGAGUAUGAUAGAGGAAAGCAGAAUUUCUAGUGUAGAGGUGAAAUUCGUAGAUAUUAGAAAGAAUACCAAUUGCGAAGGCAGCUUUCUGGAUCAUUACUGACACUGAGGAACGAAAGCAUGGGUAGCGAAGAGGAUUAGAUACCCUCGUAGUCCAUGCCGUAAACGAUGUGUGUUAGACGUUGGAAAUUUAUUUUCAGUGUCGCAGCGAAAGCGAUAAACACACCGCCUGGGGAGUACGACCGCAAGGUUAAAACUCAAAUGAAUUGACGGGGACCCGCACAAGUAGUGGAGCAUGUGGUUUAAUUCGAAGAUACGCGCAGAACCUUACCAACACUUGACAUGUUCGUCGCGACUUUAAGAGAUUAAAGUUUUCGGUUCGGCCGGACGAAACACAGGUGCUGCAUGGCUGUCGUCAGCUCGUGUCGUGAGAUGUUGGGUUAAGUCCCGCAACGAGCGCAACCCUCACUUUUAGUUGCCAUCAUUAAGUUGGGCACUCUGAAAGAACUGCCAGUGAUAAGCUGGAGGAAGGUGGGGAUGACGUCAAGUCCUCAUGGCCCUUACGUGUUGGGCUACACACGUGCUACAAUGGUAUCUACAACAGGAAGCAAGACUGCGAAGUUAAGCAAAUCCUUAAAAGAUACCUCAGUUCGGAUUGCACUCUGCAACUCGAGUGCAUGAAGCUGGAAUUACUAGUAAUCGUGGAUCAGCGUGCCACGGUGAAUGCGUUCCCGGGUCUUGUACACACCGCCCGUCACACCAUGGGAGUUGGUUCUACCUUAAGGCAAGGUUUAAAACCCUUGACCACGGUAUAGUCAGCGACUGGGGUGAAGUCGUAACAAGGUAGCC
rnacentral:rRNA from 1 species